rnacentral:misc_RNA from 1 species
GGUGGCCCGGAGUUUGCUGGA